AAAGGAAUAGACGGGGGCCCGCACAAGCGGAGGAACAUGUGGUUUAAUUCGAUGAUACGCGAGGAACCUUACCCGGGCUCGAACGCAAGUUGACUGUAGGUGAAAGUCUACAUCUAGCAAUAGCAAUUUGCGAGGUGCUGCAUGGUUGUCGUCAGCUCGUGCCGUGAGGUGUCGGCUUAAGUGCCAUAACGAGCGCAACCCCCAUCUGUAGUUGCCAGCGGGUAAUGCCGGGAACUCUACGGAGACUGCCAGCGCAAGCUGUGAGGAAGGCGGGGAUGACGUCAAAUCAGCACGGCCCUUACGUCCGGGGCGACACACGUGUUACAAUGGCGAGGUACAGCAGGAAGGGGCAUAGCGAUAUGUUUCAGAUCUACAAAACUCGUCUCAGUUCGGAUUGGAGUCUGCAACCCGACUCCAUGAAGCUGGAUUCGCUAGUAAUCGCGCAUCAGCCACGGCGCGGUGAAUACGUUCCCGGGCCUUGUACACACCGCCCGU
rnacentral:rRNA from 1 species